CCUUCUCAGCUGCUCCCGCCUUACACACUGCCAAGGACACGCCCAGGAUGGCAUUGGCCCCAAACUUGGCUGGAAGGAAAGUGGGAAGAAAGGAUCCCCCAGCAGCUUGAGGAGUCUGGAAGCCCCCACCCCAGGGAGAUGUGUCAGCUUCACAUCUGUGUCUACAGCUACCCGAGCCUGGCAGAGGGCAGGCAUCAGGAAAUGCCUGUGGAAUGAAUAAAAAGCUAUCCAGCAUGGUGUGCCCCAAAGUGUGGGACACAGAAGCAGCCCA